CUCAUAAUAGAAAAGAAGAGGGAAAUGCUGGCCCGUGUCUCCUGAUUUUGAAGAUGUGUUCAUGGCAAGGUUGAAGGAGAAAAGGUGUUAAAUGGAAGAGCCCUUGGAGACUGAGAGGAUAUUGGACACAUAGGUCUAGUGUGAAACUUCACAAGUACACCCCUUAUGUAGAGGCUGACACAUCAGGGGAGGCCAUCACAACCAGAUGGAGGCAGCUUAAACUACAAGAAGAGUAGAGGCCUUUCCCAACUCUAUGUCUUCCCAUGGAGACAAUCACAUGAGGAGAGUUUUGUUGCCUCAGCUCCAUCAUCAUCUUGUCCCCGAAUCCAUGGUAGCAAAUGUCCCUGGGCAUUUAUCCAGAGGAGAGGAAAUUUGUAUAUAAAAGAGACAUCUGCACCUCCGUGUUUAUUGCAGCACCACUCACAAUAGCCAAGAUAGGAAUCAACCUAAGUGUCCAUCAAUAGAAGAAGAACCACAUGGUGCACCAUGCAAAUAGAAAAACAAACUUCUCUAAACUGAUGACGUGGGGCGCUAUCAUGGAUUAGGAGGAGCCUUUCACCCUGAUUGCCUACUACUGUUAAAAAACUAAAACAGGUGUUCUUGGCUGAUGGAUUCCAAUAUUCAAAUAAUAUAUUUUAACCUCCUCUUGCAAGUUUGAUUGUACCAGUAACAACUGAGGGCAUAUUAAUGGGAAGUGAGGUGUAAUGGAUUCUCUCUCCAUCUUCUCCGGGUAGCAUCCAUCUCCUCCCUGCAAAGUGACAAGCCAGAGGGCCAACAGAGCUGAUGAUUUAGGCCCAGGACUUAAUUGUAGAAGUGGAAGAGGCUUCAAGGGAGGCUGAAUUUUCAGUGUUGGUAAUGAAAUGAACAAGUGGAGUGAAAUGAUAUGACCUGAUGCUUCAGUAUCAGGGCAGUAGGGAGAAUACUACUUGGGCGAAGGUCAUCACUUAGCUCCCUGAGAUGCACAGCAGGAUAGGGUUGCUGUAUUCCAUGACAGCUAGCACGGUGCCUUUUGUGGAGUGGGUAGUCAACACUGGUUCUUCCUAUCUAAUACAGAGAAAUGUUCAGGAGUAACAUUGGUCUCAACUGAAUCAAUGUGUUUGAUCAUUUAUGAUUGGGACAUAUUUCAUUUUAUGCCAAGAAUGCAG
rnacentral:lncRNA from 10 species